rnacentral:rRNA from 1 species
CAUGCAAGUCGAACGAGAGAGAAGGAGCUUGCUUCUUCGAUCGAGUGGCGAACGGGUGAGUAACGCGUGAGGAACCUGCCUCAAAGAGGGGGACAACAGUUGGAAACGACUGCUAAUACCGCAUGAGCCCACGGGUCGGCAUCGACCUGAGGGAAAAGGAGCAAUCCGCUUUGAGAUGGCCUCGCGUCCGAUUAGCUAGUUGGUGAGGUAACGGCCCACCAAGGCGACGAUCGGUAGCCGGACUGAGAGGUUGAACGGCCACAUUGGGACUGAGACACGGCCCAGACUCCUACGGGAGGCAGCAGUGGGGAAUAUUGCACAAUGGGGGAAACCCUGAUGCAGCGACGCCGCGUGGAGGAAGAAGGUCUUCGGAUUGUAAACUCCUGUUGUUGAGGAAGAUAAUGACGGUACUCAACAAGGAAGUGACGGCUAACUACGUGCCAGCAGCCGCGGUAAAACGUAGGUCACAAGCGUUGUCCGGAAUUACUGGGUGUAAAGGGAGCGCAGGCGGGAAGACAAGUUGGAAGUGAAAUCUAUGGGCUUAACCCAUAAACUGCUUUCAAAACUGUUUUUCUUGAGUAGUGCAGAGGUAGGCGGAAUUCCCGGUGUAGCGGUGGAAUGCGUAGAUAUCGGGAGGAACACCAGUGGCGAAGGCGGCCUACUGGGCACCAACUGACGCUGAGGCUCGAAAGUGUGGGUAGCAAACAGGAUUAGAUACCCUGGUAGUCCACACCGUAAACGAUGAUUACUAGGUGUUGGAGGAUUGACCCCUUCAGUGCCGCAGUUAACACAAUA